GGGAACGUUGAUGGAGAAACACCCGGAAGUAGAUGGUUCACAGCAGAUUGAAUUUCAAUCUUUCCCAGAGACAUAAAGCUGUAAAUGUAAUUUGAAGAUGUGAUAGGGAAGUGUACAAUUUUGGGAUGGUGCAGGGACUGCCCGGUCCUUGUUGAUGUCAUAAGUGUCUCGUGCUCUGAUCCUCCCUCCCCUCUUCAUCAUGCCUCUGGUGGUUGAUGCUGUGUGGGCCUUGUGGAGCAUCGGGGCUGGCAUCUAUGACUACUUCCACACCAGUGCUAUGGAGGAGAGGAUCCACACUCUGGAGAAUGUCCUCUCCAUCCAUCAGUUUGUGAUUGCAGGACUGUCUGCUGGCCUCCUCCUGCUCCUGACCUACAUACUCUGGAGAAAACACUGAAAGUUCACUGGACCCCUCCAUCCAAGGCCAAACACCCACAGGAUGCUGUUUCAUUGUAGGUUGUCUCUUGCACUCCAGAGAAGCUUCCUGAUAUUGUCCCUCAUGCUACAACAUCAAUUGGGAUGCACCAGAUGAAGUCAGGAUCACCAGCGGCCACCCUUACCAUGAGGACAUGGAAUCCCUGAAAACUUGUCUUUGGCUAGUGAGCGCUUUGUCUGUGUGUUGCUGUGUUUUCAUUGUUAAACCGUUCACGUUGUUCGCACUUUAAAUGCUUUGCUACACUUGAACGACGGUUCAGAAACAAUGCCAUUAAUUCUAACAUCUAGACAGGUGGAGGAGAGGAAGUGUGAUGAGUUUUUCUGAAAAGCAGAAAACGUCGGCAAGUACAUCUCUGCUCAUUACUAACUUAUGUUUUAAAAUAUCAAGACAUUAGAAUUAUUACCAGGUCAGUUUUCUCUCAUGCUAACAAUUUAAUCAUCUUUUUUUUUUCUAGAACUCAUUUAUGUCUCUGUGUCUGCUGACUUGUAUCACCAUUAUAACUGACUUAUCACCCAAAAAGUCCAAUAUAAAUUAGGGUUACAGUUUAAGCCUAUUUUUACAUUGAUAAUGGAAGAACAGGUUAUUUCAUCUCCAAAUGCAGGCUUACACCAUUUUACACCAAAAGUAGCAUAAAACACACACCUGCUAAAACAUUUCAAGUAGGAAUAUGUAUGUAAUCGCUCGUCUCCCCAUCAAAGAGGUGUGGAUUGCUGCUGUUUUCCUAGGAAGUGUCUCCUCACAUCGUGUUCUUCUGGUCCUACUCAUCUUUGCUCUUUUUUUCUUUUCUCUUGUUUUUUAGGAGAGAAUUGUUAAAACAGGUCCUUUCAUCAGAAAUUAGAAAUAUUACAUUAGGAUUUUUCCCUUUUGUUUUAAUGGUUUAAAUUGUCUUCUGUAGUAUUAAGUUCUUCUAUUAUCUGAAUAAAGUUUCUAAAAUGAAUUUUUAGGGGUUAUUGGACAUGAAAACAAACCUGAAUAAUUAAUUGUGCUCCUCUGAUUGGGAUUCCCAUCGAUGCUUUCUUUCAGAAAUUAAACUUCACAUAUGAACAGGAUAAAAUGGUAUAAAGGUUUAGUAGGUUUUAAAGGGAUGGAGAUGCCACAGAACUUUAAAAUUUAACAUGUUCUUUAGGUCAUGUGAGUGUGGAUUGUGUUGGGCGGGAAUGUGUGGCUGUGGUCAGACUGGAAUUAAUCUUUAAGCUUCCCGUCUGACAUCAGCUGAUCAAUGAAGAAGGUUUUAAAGACGCCUGUUUAACAAGCACAAACACCUCAAACACUGACAACUAAUCAUCUCUUUGUGUUUUAUGUUAAUGCUUCAUGCUGAGAAGGAUCGCGGGUUCAUGUAUUUAUUUAAUGUCCUCUGAUGUUUUGUGUAAAAGAAGAAAAUGUGUUUAUUAGAGUUUUUUUCCCCAACUCUUCUCCUGUCUGUGUUUAAAGUUGGUCUAAUUUCAUUAGUUCAUCAUCUUCCCUGCAGGUUAAACUGUGAAAACCAGUGAACUGUGUGCAGGACUGUCUGUUUAACUCUGCCGAACCACUACUGUUACAGAAAUAAUAAGGGAAUAUGUUUGACUAAUAACUGUUGAAGUUAAAGCUUCAUUUUUGCUGACUUUUACUUCUGUUCUCUGACAUGAUUAAAGAGUAAUUUGUGUUUCAUCCA